rnacentral:rRNA from 1 species
AGAGUUUGAUCCUGGCUCAGGACGAACGCUGGCGGCGUGCCUAAUACAUGCAAGUCGAGCGCGGGAAGCGAGCUGAUCCCUUCGGGGUGACGCUCGUGGAACGAGCGGCGGACGGGUGAGUAACACGUGGGCAACCUGCCUGUAAGAUCGGGAUAACUCCGGGAAACCGGGGCUAAUACCGGGUAAUACUUUCUUUCGCAUGAAGGAAAGUUGAAAGAUGGCUUCUCGCUAUCACUUACAGAUGGGCCCGCGGCGCAUUAGCUAGUUGGUGAGGUAACGGCUCACCAAGGCGACGAUGCGUAGCCGACCUGAGAGGGUGAUCGGCCACACUGGGACUGAGACACGGCCCAGACUCCUACGGGAGGCAGCAGUAGGGAAUCUUCCGCAAUGGACGAAAGUCUGACGGAGCAACGCCGCGUGAACGAUGAAGGUCUUCGGAUCGUAAAGUUCUGUUGUUAGGGAAGAACAAGUACCGUGCGAAUAGAGCGGUACCUUGACGG